GCCAGUCUCGGACGGGAUUUCAAACGGAACGGAAAACUGGAAAAACGGAAACCGAUCAAAACCGCGGAAUCUUUUUUCGGACGGAAGAACCGGAAUUCGGAAAAGGCGGUGAGGAAACCGAAAAAAGUGGUUGGAAAUUUCUCCCUUGGAUGCCAGUGAAUAGAUGAAUGAAGCGAGAAGGCCUCGAAACCGGAAGUGAUAAUUAAACUGUGAAAAUCGAGAUUCCGUUGAGCCGGCAGAGAAAAGGUGUGCUCUCGCUCGAGGCUGUAUGAGUGUUGUAUAUGCUUGUGUAAGCUUAAUUGUGUUUGCAUUAGUGUUUAUCUGUGCUGUUGCUGACUGGCAACUUCUGCCAAACAGGAAGUGGAAGAAAGGCGAACCGUUUUUGGGAUUCCGGAAAAGCAGCUACACCCAGACACCGGAAACGGCCAUCGCUGGCACCGGUUGUUGGUGGUCAUUAACGACCUCCGGCCACCCCCUUCAACAACAACAACAAAUUUCAGCCCCAAAGCAAGGAGCACAAAAGGGCUGGCUCGGUGUAAUUCGAUCUACGGAAUCUCGUUAAGAUUAAAAUAAUCACCACCAGCGCACACCGCAAAUUCCCCCAUCGCAGGUUUCUCUUCAACGGACUCAAAAUGUACGGAUUCGUGAAUUAUGCACUGGAGCUGCUGGUACUGAAAAACUUCGGUCUGAACAUAUGGGAACAAAUAAA